UACGUAGGGGGCAAGCGUUGUCCGGAUUUAUUGGGCGUAAAGAGCGUGUAGGCGGUCUGGUAGGUCCGUUGUGAAAACUCGAGGCUCAACCUCGAGACGUCGGUGGAAACCGUUUGGCUAGAGUCCGGAAGAGGAGAGUGGAAUUCCCGGUGUAGCGGUGAAAUGCGCAGAUAUCGGGAAGAACACCCGUGGCGAAGGCGGCUCUCUGGGACGGUACUGACGCUGAGACGCGAAAGCGUGGGGAGCGAACAGG
rnacentral:rRNA from 1 species